rnacentral:lncRNA from 1 species
GUCCGGAGGGGAGGGGAGGCCGUCGCCGCUGGCUCCGCCCACCGCGUGGUCCAAGGACCACCACCCGCCACCGCCGCGCGAGCGUACUAUUGCGGCCGCCCUCUGCUGCGCCUGAAGAGAGAGGCGACUCUACAAGCCUCACAGCAUGCACUGUUACUAAAAAGACGAUGCGUCCUCCUGGACCUGAGAUCUGUGUGAUCGUGGGAAAGCGACGAAAAACGUACGUAAUUUUUUUCUGAAGGCACCUUCGGGACACCUUACCCUUCCCUCAGGGGGGCCCAGCUUCGCGCGCGGUGCUGUGGGGGUUGUAGUUCCUCCGCCGGAGCGGGACCUCCGGUGCCCCGGGCCAGGGAUGUGAGAAAGAAGCGAGCCCUCGAGUUUCCUCGGGGCAUGUGGGAAGGUUUUUUUCAGGAUCCAGGCAGAACCUUACAGAGCUGGGAGUUUUUUAACUUUCCAUUCCUGGCAGUGACGCCAGGAGCUUUAAGUGAUGGAAAUAUGCGAGUCAAUCAGUGGAUGGUGAACAAAGGAACAGUAAAUGGAGUAACUUGGCUAGAAUAUGGCAGUAACUACAAGGCAUGUUCUGCUCUGGCACGAAGGAAAGGCUAUAUGAAGACAGAGCAAGAAGGUAGUUAUCUACAAGCCAGGAAGAGAGUCCUCACCAAAACACAACCAUGCUGGUACCCUGAUCUUCAACUUCCAGUCUUGAGCUGUUGAGAAAAUAAACUUUUAUUGUUUAAGCCACCUAGUCUAUGGUAUUUUGUUAUGGCAGCCUGAGCAGACUAAGAUACUUUUUAUUACCAAAAUCCUUUUGGAUCUACCUUCAAAACAUAUUCAUAUUACAACCAGUCUCCCCAAAUUCUGUUAGUACCUUAACUCAAGUUACUAUCAUCUGUCACUUGAAAUAGAGCAAUAGCCUCCUAACUAUAUACGGAUGUCAAUCCUCCUCAUUGAGAUGCAGUCCAUUUUCUCCCUGAAACUGAGCAGGCCUUUUGACUUGCUUUGACCAAUAGAAUUUGAAGAAAUGAUGCUGAGCCAGUUCCAGGCCUACCCCUUAAGGAGACUUGACACUUUCUACUUUAGCUCUCUUGGAACUUUGAGCCACCACGUGAGGAGUCUGAUUACCCAUUCGCAAGUGAUGCCUAAACAGCCCCUGUUCCUUCCAGACAACCCACCUGAGGCACCAGACACAUGAGUGAAGCCAUCUUGGACAUCCCAGUCACAGCCAAACUCACUCCUGAGUGCAUCUGCAUGAUGAACCCAGCAAUCCCCACCAUGGAGCAAAGGAUCCAUCCAGUCAACCCAAAGAAUCGUGAAAAAUAAUAAAUUGUUGUU